UGGGGAAUAUUGCACAAUGGGCGCAAGCCUGAUGCAGCCAUGCCGCGUGUAUGAAGAAGGCCUUCGGGUUGUAAAGUACUUUCAGCGGGGAGGAAGGGAGUAAAGUUAAUACCUUUGCUCAUUGACGUUACCCGCAGAAGAAGCACCGGCUAACUCCGUGCCAGCAGCCGCGGUAAUACGGAGGGUGCAAGCGUUAAUCGGAAUUACUGGGCGUAAAGCGCACGCAGGCGGUUGAUUGAGUCAGAUGUGAAAUCCCCGGGCUUAACCCGGGAAUUGCAUCUGAUACUGGUCAGCUAGAGUCUUGUAGAGGGGGGUAGAAUUCCAUGUGUAGCGGUGAAAUGCGUAGCGAUGUGGAGGAAUACCGGUGGCGAAGGCGGCCCCCUGGACAAAGACUGACGCUCAGGUGCGAAAGCGUGGGGAGCAAACAGG
rnacentral:rRNA from 1 species